GGGUUGUGAGGUUAAGUGACUAAGCGUACACGGUGGAUGCCUAGGCAGUCAGAGGCGAUGAAGGGCGUGCUAAUCUGCGAAAAGC
rnacentral:rRNA from 1 species